AUACGGAGGGUGCGAGCGUUAAUCGGAAUUGCUGGGCGUAAAGCGUACGUAGGCGGUUGGUUAAGUUAGAUGUGAAAGCCCCGGGCUUAACCUGGGAACUGCAUUUAAAACUGGCGAACUAGAGUUGAGUAGAGGGGAGUGGAAUUUCAGGUGUAGCGGUGAAAUGCGUAGAGAUCUGAAGGAACACCAGUGGCGAAGGCGACUCCCUGGACUCGAACUGACGCUGAGGUGCGAAAGCGUGGGUAGCAAACGGGAUUAGAUACCCGUGUAGUCC
rnacentral:rRNA from 1 species